CCGUGGCGAUGGGAUCCGCGGCUCCGCUCCGCCUCCCGUGCUGGAGGGAGGCGGGGGCGGAGUGCCGGGCGCGGGCUUGGGGGUCGGCCUUGCUCCCGGGCUGCGCCAAACUCGGGCCGUGCUGACGGCGCUGUCCUUAACGCCUUCCCUAAAAUGCUCGAAUCGCCUGGGAGAGUGGUUAAAAAUGUUUGUGGUAGGGAUUGUUUGUUUAUUUUUUCAGAUAAAUAACUAAACGCCAUGAGGCAGAGAACCCUUCCUUGCUGGGAACGUUGGAGAAGAAGUGGAGGAGGUCUGGCAUCCUGGACUGCUCGGGUUCAGGGGAUGAUGGGUGAGGAGCUGGAGAGAGCAGAGUGGUACAGAAUCACAGAGCCAGUUCGGUUGGAAAAGAUCUCUGAGAUCAUCAGGUCCUGUCUUUGGCCAAACACCACCACGUGGACAUGACCGUGACACUGAUGCCAUGUCCAGUCUUUCCUCAAACACCUGCAGGGACGGUGACUCCACAGCAGCAGCUCCUCACACGCCUUCCUUUGAAGCAUCCCAGCAUCCUGAUUUUUCUGUGCACGUUGCAAAGCCCUCCCUUUCAGCUCAUGGUGGAAUAAAUUUAGAUUCCUUGUGUUACUUGCUGGCUUGUGUUCCAUGUGAGGUGGCAGUGGCAGUUGGUUUGGGUAUUUUGAAUGAAUGGCAUGGGUAUGGAACACGUAUCACCAGCACUUUUUAUGUUACAGAGGCAAAAUGCCACUCCUAAGCUAUAAAAUAAUUCUCCAACAUGUUAGAAUAGCAAUCUGAAGUUACUUGCUUCAUUGUUAAAAAAGCUUAUGUUGAGGACUUCCUGGGGCUUUCCUGAACAAUUUUUGAUUAAUGAUGUACUAAGAUGCUGACUUUAGUUAAAAGGGAACAAUAAAGACAAGGAGAAAAAAAAAAAAAAAAGUUAGGGGGCAGGCAGAUAAAAGGAGAAGAAAAGAAGAGAAUCACCUACAUUUUGAUUUAGUUUGUAAAUGUAUUAGUACUCCAGGAAAAAAAAAAUCUAACAGACUUUCAUUCCCAGAGUGCUUAAUUGGUACCCUGCCUUAAGUGAACCAGAAAAUUGCUCACUUGGAAUGAGAACUGGAAAAAUAGCACAGUUAAAUCUGAUGACUUGAGACGAGAAAAAUUUCUGGUGCUGCUGUAUUUUUUGGUAGUCCAGCUAACCAAUAUCUGGUAAUUGCAGGACACAUGCUAUAAAAACAGUUGCUUUCAGACUCAGUACAGCAGAGUCUGUGCACUAGAAAGCAGUGAUUUUUGCAUUAAGAGAAGUGAUUAUAAUGGGGUGGGGGGGGAAGUCAGCACCUUUAAAAGUGAAAUAAAAACUUGCUGUUCAGAGCAGGGCCUUUGUGAAGUAGUUGUGGCUUCUAUCACAAUUUAAUACCCACACAUGUGUGCAUAUAUUGGGUAAGAAAGAUGAAAGGAAGGUCCAGACAAAUGAGGGCAAGAAAAGCUGAGGGCAUGUAGAAUUACAAUUUUGAAAUGAGAACAUAAAGGCAGCUCACCUAGGUGCUUAUAAGAGCCAAGAACCAUACAGAAGAGUGAUGGAUUUGGUUGGGGUGGUUUUUUCAGUAAUGUUCAACUUCCUAGAAGAAACCUGUAUGUUUCAGCACAGUUAUUGCUUGAGUUCUCCUUGUGCUGAGCAGGAUGAGUAUUGAAAUACACUGUCAUUACUGUAAAACUAAACUGUCUCAUGCACCUGGGGUCUCAGGGAGAUUCCCUUACUGCCUCUUUCUGUGGAGCAGAGACUUGGAGAAAGCCAGGCAGCCCAUCCCCACUGCCUUGGCACAGGAGGUGAAUGCUUCUUUCUGUGCCUUGUUGCUGCACCCACGGUGAAUAAUUUAAAAAAAAUGUCUCUGGGAAUGGUGUCAUAGUUAGUAGGGCUUGUCAACAAGAGUUCAGAAAUCUUCUCCUGGAGACUAAGAGAAGGAGGUUCAGUGUCUUGGUUUCUGCUGUGAUUUGCUUCAGGAAUCUUUCUUCUUCAGUGUGGUUUGACGAAAUUUAAUUUCUCGCCAGACUUCAUUUCCUUGAAAAAUGCUGUGGAAUUCCUCACUGCACCAACCUCCCAGGGUAUUCUGGCAGCAGCUUUUCAUUCAUUGUUUCUCCACCUACAUCAGCUAACUGGAGAGAUAAAAGAACAGCCGUUUCACUGCUUUGUUAAGAAAUGUGCUCUCCUCCUGCCUGACUGUCACAGAUUCCACCACCAGGAGGCCCCUCAUCCCAGUGCUUAUAGCUAGGCAAAGAAAACACAAGGAGAGUGGAGCAACCCAUUCACACAAAAGUCAUGUUUCAGUACGGAUGAGUGCAAGACACAGCUUUGCAAUGCAAUUUCAGAAUGGAUGAUAGGUGAGAACAGUUUUGCUCCUGUCAGGAAAUGCAGCUAGCUCCUGCAAGUGUAAGUUACCCUCAGUUGCUAACGGAGUUACCCCUUGUCUUUCAAACUCAGUUCCUGCCCUCCUUCCCUGAAUUCACAUACAUACAACAUGUUUACAUUUGUGUACUUUGGCCUCUCUAAUGUGGACUAAAGUGGAAAACAUGUAUCCUCUGCUCUAAGAAGAAAAAAAAUAAGGGUAAAUGAAGGCGUGCAUGAAAUAUGCAAAGUUCCCAGACCUCUGAGAAGGUUUUCCAAUCAUAGCUCACCAUUCUGGCCACACUGUUCACUUGAAGGAGUUUACACAAAUACACAGGCAGCUGAGCCACUCACAUGCUCUGGAGAGAAGCCAUUGCUUCCUGACAGAGUUUGCCACAAGGCUGUCCUUGGUGACUGGAAGACCAAAGGUUUAAAGAGCAUAUGCAGCCCACACAGCACUGAAAGCUUGUGUUAAGCUUUAUUUCACUCUGUUCCUAUUACCUGGCUACUCUUUGCUUGCUUCCACAUCCGUAUUUCAUUAUUUUCCUUGUCUCUUACUUUCACAGUCAUCUGUUUCCAUGGCUCACUUAAGAUGUCCUUUCCAGGAAAUGAUGAAACUUAAGCCUCCAGUCUGUACAUUCCUGAUGAGCAGAUUCAGGAAAAGGGAAUACAGGGAAAGGGUCUCAAGCAUCUCUCUGUGUGGGUUGGUGUUUGGUGCUGUUGUAACACUUCACCACUGGCAGCUGCUGGAGACAAGAUGUUUGGCCUUUGUACUGCUCUGCUGUGUUGUUUAUAAGCAAGAGCAAACAGGGCCUGGAUUCUAAAUUCCCUGCCAAGGUAGUUUCAUCUCAGGCCUCAGAAGAGCAUCAGCUGUGCUUUGCCUGUACAAACAAGCACACUUGUGUAUCAUGGACUGCAUCCUGAGAUUCUGUGAAGCUCAGUGUGUGUAACAUGCUAUGAAGGUGGGAAAGAAGUGCUGAGUAUUCUUUCCUCUUCCAUGUUCUUUCACCAUUCCUUCUAUACCUUCACUUAGCCACACUCCAAGAAGCUCCAAGAAGCUACACUGACUGGGACUACUCACAGUUGGAUCCAGAAUAAUUCAAGAUGAACAAACUGCUGUCAUCAAAGAGAGAGUCAUAAGGACACUGAGGUCUUACUCUACACUAAUUCUUGGUGUUAGGAAGGUAUGCCUGUGGAUGGCCUCUUAUCAAAUGCAAACAUUGGAACUUAUGUGGUCUUUAGACAAUGUGGAUUCUGCAACAACAUGACAAUGGACCGUGUGGCCCAGAAAGUCCUUUUGGGUAUCUGCUGCCAGCUCCUAUGCAGAUGACAUUGCUUUUCAGGCUUUUGAGGAAUGCAGAUGACAGCUCACCACUGGUCUGCACUACUCCAGGAUGCCAAUUUAGAACCCAUUCCUAUGAAACCUCUGAAAGCAAGAUUCCUUCAAGAUGACAAGCAGUUCAGAGAAGACUGGUAAGACUGGUAGGAAUGCAGGAUAAAAAUAUACUCACAAAUAUGUGUGGCCAGUAAUUGGAUGUGUCACAGAAGCUCAGGUUUUCAUCAAAAGUAUUCAUUGCUCUUAAGGAAACUUUCCUAGUCUGACCAUCCAGAAGCCACUCUGUCAGUCACCCUGGGACUGAGGCCCUUUCUCAGUGGGCAGCUCCAGUGACCCAGUGGGUGCCUCACUUGACUCCCUACACCCCCCACAGUCAGACAGGUUUCCUUAUUGGCUUGAGCCAGGAUUUCCCUUAGAGUCUCAGACAUCUGGAUCCUUAAAAUAAUUUAACCAUGGUGCAGCAAAAAAAUAGCAGCUCAAGCUGGGUGCCUCCAAGAAGGGGCCCCAAAGAAAGCCCUGGGUUUUUAUACCCUCCCAGUCUGUGUGUGACAAAGUCCUGGCUCUUCCUGCUGAGUCCUCGGCUCCUGCUGUGUCUCAGUGUCCGGUCACCUGGAUGUGCCACAGGUCCUGUGCCCUCUCUUGUGCCAAGGGUCAGCACCAGUUCCUGGCCUCUUGCCUGGGGCUCUCGUGGCCCAGAGCCCAACCUGCAGCUGACACUGCAGCUGCACACCGAGCUACCAGCACUGAAUGUGUUCCUCAACACUUUUCAUCUUGUUACUACAACUCAAAAGGUUGACAGGUUGGGUUUGUUGG